rnacentral:lncRNA from 1 species
UCUGAAACCAGUAUGAAGCUAUGAUUCAAGUUAACGUUGUUACCAUCGUCCCUAUCUGAGUGCUAUUAGACACAUCAGCAAAAAUCUGGAAGAAAAUAUAUGGACUUAUUAUUGAGAAAAUGUACAAAUGGCACCACAGCUGAUUGAACAGUAAAUAAUUAUGAAGAAGAAACUGUUUCUGUCAAUACUUGAAUGUGAUGGGGAUGAGCAGGAGGAAGAUGUGAAGUCUAAUCUCAGCAGAUGGUUGUCAAAACUGCGCAGAGUGACUGAGAAUGUAGAAAGAAAUAAGAAGAGAGUUUCCCCCAUUUUGUCUUUAUGUCAUGAAUAGUGAAUAAAUCAUACAUUAUAGACAAAUCAAAAAUCGUAAAAACUAGGUAAAAUGAAAAUAAUGAAAACAGUUUUGUUGAAAUGUAUUUUGAAGAUAAAUGUAUGUGAUUACUCAUUGACCUUAAAUGAAUGUUGAUAUGACUGAAAACAGUAAAAAUGGAUAUAUGUGUUGUAUUCAUGCAUUGAUAGUCUCAUAUUGGAGAUAUUACAAGAAUGAUUCAUGUUGACAAGAAAGGAAGAAUGUCUUUCAAGCUGUUACUUAGUUACUGACAAAUCAAGUAUGUCAAUUGGACACUAGGAUGAGCAAAGCAGACUUGUAAAACAGAUAGAUUGCUAUAAGUUUCACUUCUGAUCAUAGCUGGAAAUCUGAAUGUUAACCCAAACUUUCUCUCCUUUUACAGACUUCUUAUUCAUUGAUCUAUACUCUGUGUCUUGAUUUGUGUUGGAAAAUCAUGGAUUAGAAAUGUACUUUCUUAUUUGAAAAAGUUUCUAGAUACAGACCUGUGCUAUUUAUUUUCUGUGUGGUUGGAAUGGACAGAACAAAAAUAGACAUUUGAACUAACGAAACAGGAUAUGUCUACAAGCCUUUUUGAAUAGUGUUUGAUUGCUUUACAAUAUUUUUCUCUGUAAAUGUGCAUAUAUUAUAUUUUGAUGCUCACACAUGCAAAAGUCAUUCCUUAAUGGAUUUUUUUAUAAACAGGCUAGGACUAUGUAAGUGACUUAGUGUCACUACAGAAUGUGUUUG